CCUACGGGAGGCAGCAGUGGGGAAUAUUGCACAAUGGGGGAAACCCUGAUGCAGCGACGCCGCGUGAGUGACGAAGUAUUUCGGUAUGUAAAGCUCUAUUAGCAGGGAAGAAAAUGACGGUACCUGAUUAAGAAGCCCCGGCUAACUACGUGCCAGCAGCCGAGGUAAUACGCAGGGGGCAAGCGUUAUCCGGAUUUACUGGGUGUAAAGGGAGCGUAGUCGGCAGCGCAAGUCUGGAGUGAAAUGCCGGGGCUUAACCCCGGAACUGCUUUGGAAACUGUGCGGCUAGAGUGCAGGAGAGGUAGGUGGAAUGCCUAGUGUAGCGGUGAAAUGCGUAGAUAUUAGGAAGAACACCAGUGGCGAAGGCAGCAUACUGGACUGUAACUGACGUUGAGGCUCGAAAGCGUGGGGAGCAAACAGGAUUAGAUACCCGGGUAGUC
rnacentral:rRNA from 1 species